rnacentral:rRNA from 1 species
UACAGAGGGUGCGAGCGUUGUUCGGAAUUACUGGGCGUAAAGCGCGCGCAGGCGGCCGUUUAAGUCUCACCGUUCAAGCCCGGAGCUCAACUCCGGUCCGCGGGGGAUACUGGACGGCUAGGGACAUGUAGGGGCGAGCGGAAUUCCGGGGUGUAGCGGUGGAAUGCGUAGAGAUCCGGAAGAACACCGGGGGCGAAGGCGGCUCGCUGGGCAUGGUCCGACGCUGAGGCGCGAAAGCGUGGGGAGCGAACAGGAUUAGAUACCCGGU